CUGGGCUUUGCUCCACUUGGAGUCAGCUGAUUGGCGGGAGGGCAUCUGAAAUUGAGAGGAGGUUUCAGGACGUUUACCCAGCCCUUUAGUGGGGAUCUGUCUGGGACUGUGCAGUCUGAAUCUGCAACUGUAAAAGGCAUGGUCCCUGGAAACAACCCUGGUGCUGUCCAGCAGCGUGUUGAACAGGAAGUUGUGUGUGUGAAUACAAGGUUCCAUAAAAUUCCUGAUGGAGAUCGUGGAGUGAAAAGACAUUAUCACAGAAUUCCAACAAGGCUUGAAGGCAGAAUUAUCUUUAGAAAAC
rnacentral:lncRNA from 1 species